rnacentral:lncRNA from 1 species
AUGCCGGCUUCCCUUCAGGAGCCCUGGGGUGCCCGCAGCGCCUCCCUUUCCUUGCAGCCGCCUGGGCCUCCCCGCAGCAUGUCGCUGCAGGCCUGGGAGUGGGAGGAUGAGGACCAGGCCAGCAUGGGCCCCGUGUCCUCCAUGGGCAGCUUCCACCAGUCCGGGAGCGAGUGUGGAGCCGAUGAGCACUGUGGAGCCGAUGAGCACCUGAAGGACAGGGCCUGGGCCCAGGAGUCGGACUCGGAGCUCCGGGGCAGCAGCGAGUCCUCAGAAAGGCCUGCCAGUGCCUGCAGCUCCGACGCGCCCCACGUGGUCCCCUGCAAGUUCACCAUCUCUCUGGCCUUCCCACUGACUUCAGGUCAUAAAGGGAGGCUUUCGAGUUUGGUUGAAAAAUACAGGCGGCAGCCUAAAACAGACAAGCCCGUCGCAAAGGUCCACCGUUACUACCACAUCGAGUACUCUCUCCUGCCCGACGACGGGGAGCAUAGGAAAGUCGACGUGCUGCUGUUUCCAGCCGUGGCCAAAGUGUUCCUGGACUCGGGAGUGAAGACCAUCAAGCCGUGGCAAGACGGGGACAGGGUUUGGGUGUCGUGGACCCAAGCUUUCAACAUCAACGUGACCAAGGAGUUACUGAAGAAAAUAAAUUUUCACAAAAUCACCUUGAAGGUCUGGGACACCAAGGAAAAGGUUUCGAAGAGAGUCAAGUAUUAUCGGCUAAAGCCUUCCGGGUUUAUGGAAGAUGUGGGCUCUUUCGAGGAAGUGAAAAGUGUCGUUCUAAGUCAGAGAAGAUUGUCGGAACGGGGCGUUCACGUCAAGGAGGAGCAGUGCCAGGACCCCGCGCCAGAGAAACCGAGGCGGUCCUUGAAGCCAGCGCACGAUGCGGAAACUCUUCCCGGGAGCCCCGAGGACCACGAAAAGCUACUCAGGUCGGAAGAGCUUGCCACAGUCCAGUGGGGUCAUUCCAAACCGGUUACUCCUUUGGGAGGGGCAACCGCAACAGAGGCGAAGGAGCUGAUUGAGAAGCCAUCAUUUAGCAGCUUGACAACCCUGUUGGAGAAGCAGAAAUUUCAGAGUAAGCGGAAAGAGUCGGACGGCAGGAGGAAGGUGCAGAGGAGGAGGAAGACGUCUCACGGGGAGAGGGCCGCGGACGUGCGGCUGGCAGGCCCCGUGAAGCACGGCAGCUUCUCCAUCCAGCUGGAGGUCCUGCCGCUGCUGGCAGGAUGCGAGUCUGUCAUGAGCCACGGCAGUGGGCAGUCGGCCAGCAUCUUAGAUUGUUUCUUGACGCUGAAAACUGAGGUUCCCCUCAUGACAGAAGAGCAGAAGCAGGAUCUGAACCCCUUGACCAUAAAGAUCAAGUGUGUUUCCUCCCUCCCGUCGCAGCCCGUGCCCUUCAGGGAGCUAGAGCGGCUCUGCAGCCCCGUGUACUGCAGGUACCAGUUUCACAGGGCCCCAGCGCACCGCACGGAGGGCCGGCCGCACGGGAGCCACGUGUACUUCCAAGAUGUCAACGUCAUCUUCCUGGGGGCCAUGCACCCCAGCGACCUGAGGGAGUACCUGGAGGGGCCCCCCAUGGUGGUGGAAGUGCAUGACCGGGACCGCAAGUCCGAGAGCUAUUCCCGCAAGCCCACCCUGUUUGGGGAGGACCCCCUGGACGCGUAUCUCAACCUCCAGGCCCUCAUCUCCUCAGGAGACACGGAGAGCAACCCCUUUGCAACCCAGGAGAAGAUGUGGGACCCGCACGGCGUGGCCCGGGUCAGCUUCGCCGACCUCCUCCUCGGCCACAAGUACCUGAAUCUGGCCGCCCCUGUGCACAGCUGCGAGCCCUGGGCCGCCUCCCUGGGCCACGGCCACAGGAGAGGGCACGCGGUGGGGCCCCGGGGCCCCAGGGAGGGCGUGCCACACAGCCUGAUGCUGCCGGGGGACUACGUGGAGGCCAGCUGCCUGCUGAAGCUGCGGGUGGAUGUGGCGGUGCCGCUGCGUGGAGGGCUGGGUGGCGCCGACCCCACGCUCUCCCGGUUCGGCCGCGUGGUCUUUGUGUUCGAGUCCAGGCGGGUCUCCCUGCUGCACAGCCUCCUGCAGGACGUCACCAUGAUCAACGCCAGGGCUCUGGCCCUGGACUCCUACCCACUGGAGGACAUCCAGCAGAUCCUGUCCGCCUUCAAGAUCCGGGUGAAGACCCAGGAGCAGCCCGACCUGGACGUGCUCACCGGCGUCCACCUGCUGGAUGGGAAAGUCCACCUCCUCAUCCUGGAGGGCCUGGCCGACCACGGCCUCCAGCAGCUGUGGGCCCGUCACCAGAGCCGGGUCCCGCGGGCGGAGCAGGGUCCCUUCAAGGCGCUCUACAACUCGGAGCUGCGCUUCCGCCAGCGCCUCUACGCGGACCUGGAGACGAUCCUGUACCGCGUGCGGCUGUUCCGGCCGCUGGCGCAGCUGGUGAAGCAAGCGGCCCUCUACGUGCGCAGAGCGGUCCCGCCGCAGGUGUUCCAGGCGCUGAGCAGGGCCUACUGCAUCUGCCGUUACAGCUCCAGGCUCAGGGAGGUGAUCAUGGGAGACCUGCUGCCCUCCUCGGCCAUGAUCAAGGAGCUGAGCCAGGAGUUUGGGAUGCCCAUGUCCCAGGAAGACCUCACAGAGCGGAAGCUGCUGGCCAUGGCCCCUGCCCCGAGUCUCGAGGGCUUCCAGGGCCAGAAGCCCACCCUCGCGUUGCAGAUCCACUCCCACCAGGAGAAGUAUCUGCAGUGGCGGAGCGCCAAGAUCCUGAAGAGCAGAGGCCAGAAGGCGAGCCUGAUUCAGAGAAACAUCUCGGCGGCCUCCCGGGUCGGCAAGAAGCCUCCCGGCUCUGCAGCGAGGGUGAUGCGGGUCUCAGCCCCGAACACGCACACCGUGCAUAACUACAGCAUCCAGACCCUGAACUCUGUGGAGCUGGCGAAGAAGGAGCUGUAUCGGGAGAUGGCCAAGGAGCCGGGCAGGAGGUUCACGUAUUCGCAGAAGUACCUGUCCGCCACAGUGGGGCCUCUGGACCCGGAGGAGGAGGAGAGGAGGGCCCGCAGGGAGUCCCGCCAGGCCUGGCGCACGCCCAGCGGCUUCCAGACGGCGGGUCUCCACACCAUGGGCACGACCCAGCUCCUGGGGCUGCCGCCCAUCAGCGCCGCCACGGAGGAGUGGAGGGAGAAGGCCCUGUUCACCAGCCUGCUAGAGCCGGUGCUGCAGCGGGAGAGGUGGGGCUGGGGCCUGCGCCACCAGGACUUCAACCUGUACACACGGCCGCCGGCGUUCCUGGAGCUCCCACCCGCGCCCAAGCCUGGGGCAGGAAGGCGGAAGGCAGCAGCCUCGUGUCCUGAGCAGCACAGACCGUCCGCUGGAGCGGAGAGUGCCAGCCCCUGCCACGGCCACAACUUGGCAACGCCGCCAACCUCGCCAACCUCCCCCAGCUCCAGGUCGUCGGGAGGGCACCACACGCUCACCUCGCUGGGACACAGGCCUGCAGCCCCCCAACCCACAGGCCUCAGUAAAGCGCAGUGAGAGGAAGCCGCAGCACUGUCGUGGGCCCGGGCGGGGGGCUCACCUCGUGGUCGUGGUCCCGCAGCCCCAGGCGGAUGGAGCGGCUGGCCCGGGACAGCACGGCCGUCAUCGCGUACAGGUUGAUGAGCACGUUGGCGACUCGCUUCAAGACCAGCUGCUCCUCCACGAUGGUCUGGGAACGCAGGCGGGGGAGACGUGGCCCUUGGGACCCUGCCCCAUAGUCCUCAGCAGGGCCCACCUCUGCGCCUCACUCUACGCCCCAAGUGUGGGCGGAAACACAUCCCAGAGCGUGGCUGAGGCCAGAGCCCGGAGCUCCAACACUCCAGCCACAGAUCAGCUCUCAAGACCCAGGGCCACGUGGGGCUGCCCCUCCCGGCCUCAGGAGGCCUCUCGCCAACUGGAAGGUGCCCCCGGCAGGGUUCCUCCACGCCUGCCUCUGGCGAGCUGAGUGGCCCACAGGGCAGGCAGCCACAGCCAGCCGCGCUCUGCACCCCAGCCCUCCAAGGUGACCAGGCCUGGGCCCUGGGGUGGACACCCGCUGGACCGCUGGCUCCGAUGCUCGCCUGCCAGCCUCCCAGCCCCAGGCACCUUGCCAAAGCGCAGCAGCAGGCUCUCCACAGAGCGGCCGAAGUAGUACACGUUUUCCUCGAGCUUGUGGGCACCAUCCUGCCGGGCCAGGGGAGGGCUUAGCUUGGCAAUGCCCACUGUGGUGCCCAGGCCCUCCCGCCACCGCGACAGUGCAGACAGGGCCACCUGGGGUCCCGUGGACCGACUGGUCCUCCCCAGUGCCCCGGCCACACUCUUUCUGGGACAGACAUACUGACGGGGGGCCGGCUCCCCGCUGGGCCCACUCACCGCAAGGCUGGGGUGCACAACUCCAAGCUUCCCAGUCAGUCCCAAGUCCACGGUGCGGCCCAGGGAGUCCCGAAGCCUCUGGCCGAUGGUCUCCAUGAUGGUGGUCACGUUGCCCCGUUUGAGCUCCCUGCAGAGAGCACAGGCG